rnacentral:lncRNA from 1 species
CAAGUCGAAUGAUAAAGUGGGCAACAAAACUCAGUGAGUUUGAUAUUCAGUAUCACUCAUGACCAUCAAUAAAGGCACAAGUUUUGGCCGAUUUUAUCGUCAAGUGUACUAUAUCUGACAAUAACUCUGAGGAUGAAUCCAACGAUAAAUUAAAGCAAGUUGAAACUCCUGAGAUCGAUUUAACAUCGAUAUGGGUGCUACAUAUUGAUGGAGCAUCCAACGCACA